UCCGCCGUAGGCACCAGUGAAUACAUCCCUGAGAAGGCAGGCGUCCACAAGGAGAAGGGCCUCAGACAGCAAGCCCCAGCGAGGGCCUUGGGGCAGACAGAACAGCAUGGACUCCACACGGGGCCAGAGCCUCUGAGAAGAAAUUCUGCUCCUAGUGAACACAAGCAAAACCAGAAGUCUCAGCUACUUGGGAAGAUGAAGCAGGAGGAUCACCUGAGCUGAGAGAGUCAAGGCCAGGUCUGGACGACAGAGAAAAGAACCCAUCUUGGAUAAAUAAGUUCAAAACAAAGGCUCCAGCCAGAACCAGGGCCUCCUCCCUCAAGCUUGGCAGUUCCCUGAGUAGCGGGGCAUUUGACCUCACUCAUAUCCUCAGUCACACCGAAGGAGCUACACUCUGAGGCCAAAGCAGAAGCAAUGAAAGAAAAGCUGACCCUGUGAAGUGGGUGUCCACAGGGCCAAAUAGAAAGAGGAGAGCCACCAGGAGCCCAGACUGGGAGUCCUCUUCCCACGAGAUGUAGCAGACGUCACCGGGCAUGAACCAUGCUUACCAAAUCUGCCUCUUCUCCAGAGCCCCUCCCGGCAGUAUCCUUAGAACAAAGGCCACACUGUUGGUGCUCUUGAUGUCCCCUUACUGCCGCCAACAUGCUGAAGCACAUUUGCAAGUAUAAUCUGACGAGCCAUGUGCAGAAACUCUGAAGAGACAAAGCGCGCCCUGUGACCACCACUUUGGGUUUCCUGGGCCCCAAGGACCGCAGUUAGCUCGCUCUGCACUGCUCCCGUGGCUCCCACAGGCUGCCGACAGUAUGAUGUAUAUAUAACACACGCAGUGAGCAGAGGACUCUGCAGGGAGACAGCUUUCGGGCGCACUCCCAGCCCUCCAGAUCUGUGACCUCCAUCGCGUUUGCUUGCUGUUCUAAUGAAACGUGUACAUAUGAGGAUCAACUUCCAUCUCCCUUCCAGGGCCCAGCAGGAGGUAGGCUGUCCUCUCCCGGGCUCCAAAUUUCUAAAACCACAGCUUUUAGGCGGCAGCGGCAUGAUGACACCAAACAGGAAGAGAAGAAAUGAAGGAAUGAUCCUUUUCUUUCCGCCCUCCCGUGGACAAGAUGUCAUUUUUACCAACAAAACGGUGGUCAGAUUUCCCUGAGAUCACCCUGAGUACAAGAAAGGUCAGGAACCAAAUUCAGGACAAAGAAAGAUGACUAGAGACCACGGCCGACCCCAGCCUC